GACGAACGCUGGCGGCGUGCUUAACACAUGCAAGUCGAACGGAGAGGCCCUGCUUUUGUGGGGUGCUCGAGUGGCGAACGGGUGAGUAACACGUGAGUAACCUGCCCUUGACUUUGGGAUAACUUCAGGAAACUGGGGCUAAUACCGGAUAGGAGCUCCUGCUGCAUGGUGGGGGUUGGAAAGUUUCGGCGGUUGGGGAUGGACUCGCGGCUUAUCAGCUUGUUGGUGGGGUAGUGGCUUACCAAGGCUUUGACGGGUAGCCGGCCUGAGAGGGUGACCGGCCACAUUGGGACUGAGAUACGGCCCAGACUCCUACGGGAGGCAGCAGUGGGGAAUAUUGCACAAUGGGCGGAAGCCUGAUGCAGCAACGCCGCGUGCGGGAUGACGGCCUUCGGGUUGUAAACUGCUUUCGCCUGUGACGAAGCGUGAGUGACGGUAAUGGGUAAAGAAGCACCGGCUAACUACGUG
rnacentral:rRNA from 1 species